rnacentral:rRNA from 1 species
UGGGGAAUUUUGCACAAUGGGGGAAACCCUGAUGCAGCGACGCCGCGUGAUUUAGAAGGCCUUCGGGUUGUAAAAAUCUUUUCUAUGGGAAGAAAAUGACAGUACCAUAGGAAUAAGGACCGGCUAAUUACGUGCCAGCAGCCGCGGUAAUACGUAAGGUCCGAGCGUUGUCCGGAAUCAUUGGGCGUAAAGGGUACGUAGGCGGGUAAGAAAGUUAGAAGUGAAAUCCUAUAGCUCAGCUAUAGUAAGCUUUUAAAACUGCUCAUCUUGAGGUAUGGAAGGGAAAGUGUAAUUCCUAGUGGAGCGUUGAAAUGCGCAGAUAUUCGGAGGAAUACCGGUGGCGAAGGAGACUUUCUGGCCAUAAACUAACGCUGAGGUACGAAAGCGUGGGUAGCAAACAGG